UUUGAGACAGAGUUUCUGUCUUGUUACCCAGGCUGGAGUGCAAUGGCGCUGUCUCAGCUCACUGUAACCUCUGCCUCCCGGGUUCAAGCGAUUCUCCUGCCUCAGCCUCCCAAGUAGCUGGGAUUGCAGACGGAGUCUUACUCUGUUGCCCAGCCUGGAGUGCAGUGGCGCUAUCUGGGAUCACUGCAAGCUCCGCCUACCAGAUUCUGGUGAUUCUUGUGCCUCAGCCUCCCAAGUAGCUGGGAUUGCAGGCGCCCACCACCACGCUCAGUGGAAUCCCCCAAAGAAGGUAAAGGGAGCAAGCCUUCCCCACUGUCUGUGAAGAACACCAAGAGGAGGCUGGAGGGCGCCAAGAAAGCCAAGGCGGACAGCCCCGUGAACGGCUUGCCAAAGGGGCGAGAGAGUCGGAGUCGGAGCCGGAGCCGUGAGCAGAGCUACUCGAGGUCCCCAUCCCGAUCAGCGUCUCCUAAGAGGAGGAAAAGUGACAGCGGCUCCACAUCUGGUGGGUCCAAGUCGCAGAGCCGCUCCCGGAGCAGGAGUGACUCCCCACCGAGACAGGCCCCCCGCAGCGCUCCCUACAAAGGCUCUGAGAUUCGGGGCUCCCGGAAGUCCAAGGACUGCAAGUACCCCCAGAAGCCACACAAGUCUCGGAGCCGGAGUUCUUCCCGUUCUCGAAGCAGGUCACGGGAGCGGGCGGAUAAUCCGGGAAAAUACAAGAAGAAAAGUCAUUACUACAGAGAUCAGCGACGAGAGCGCUCGAGGUCGUAUGAACGCACAGGCCGUCGCUAUGAGCGGGACCACCCUGGGCACAGCAGGCAUCGGAGGUGAGGCGGGGUUGCAGUGACUGGUGGCCGCAAGCCCUUCCCUGGGGAGUACCUGAUGGCUGCCCUUUGACCCCCGGUGGCUGCCCUUUGACCCCCGGGUGUGCUCUCAGCGCAAGUGGUCCUAGAACAGGAUUCUUUUUGGAAAUGUCUGUCGACUGGACCUUGGUGGAUUUGGAAAUGGAACUGAGGGACCGGUGACACGUGCUUCAGACCGGUCUGGGGUGCGGCGCACACCUGGGCCCGUGCAGGGCUCAGCUCGGCAGCAGCUCUGAGGGCAGCUCAAUGAAAAAGUGAAUGCACACGCCCUUGUUGGCGUGGCCUGGCAUGGCCUGGUGCUAUCGGCAGCCGCUCUCCACUCCCCGACUGAUACUCAAUUACGUGAAGCCAAGAAAGAUGAUUUUUAGAACCUUUGCCUAUAUUAGGUUGUACUUAUGUACAUAUUUUGCAGUGUUUCACAGGAGAAAGUGGCCUUAACUGCCCCUUAUUCUCUCUCCACGUUGUAAAUAAACAUGUGUUUAAUAC
rnacentral:lncRNA from 10 species